rnacentral:pre_miRNA from 1 species
AAUGCGUAGCUACAGCUGGUUGAAGGGGACCAAAUCCAUUCAUCGGCUGAUUUGGUUCCAUUUUACCAGCUCUAGCAAAGCAUUCAA